AACGAACGCUGGCGGCAGGCUUAACACAUGCAAGUCGAGCGCGUAGCAAUACGAGCGGCAGACGGGUGAGUAACGCGUGGGAAUCUACCCAACCCUACGGAAUAACCCAGGGAAACUUGGACUAAUACCGUAUACGCCCUUUGGGGGAAAGAUUUAUCGGGGAUGGAUGAGCCCGCGUUGGAUUAGCUAGUUGGUGGGGUAAAGGCCUACCAAGGCGACGAUCCAUAGCUGGUCUGAGAGGAUGACCAGCCACAUUGGGACUGAGACACGGCCCAAACUCCUACGGGAGGCAGCAGUGGGGAAUAUUGGACAAUGGGCGCAAGCCUGAUCCAGCCAUGCCGCGUGAGUGAUGAAGGCCCUAGGGUUGUAAAGCUCUUUCACCGGAGAAGAUAAUGACGGUAUCCGGAGAAGAAGCCCCGGCUAACUUCGUGCCAGCCGCCGCCGUAACAC
rnacentral:rRNA from 1 species